GCCCCGGUGGCAGAUGGUCUGCACCUGCAGUAGGUUUUAACCCAACUGCCAUCUGAGCAGGUAGCUCGUUCGAGUCGAGCCCGGGGCG